rnacentral:rRNA from 1 species
GUAGGUGGCAAGCGUUGUCCGGAAUUAUUGGGCGUAAAGCGCGCGCAGGCGGUUCUUUAAGUCUGAUGUGAAAGCCCACGGGCUCAACCGUGAGGGUCAUUGGAAACUGGAGAACUUGAGUACAGAAGAGGAAAGCGGAAUUCCACGUGUAGCGGUGAAAUGCGUAGAGAUGUGGAGGAACACCAGUGGCGAAGGCGGCUUCCUGGUCUGUAACUGACGCUGAGGCGCGAAAGCGUGGGGAGCAAACAGGAUUAGAUACCCUGGUAGUCCACGCCGUAAACGAUGAGUGCUAAGUGUUAGGGGGUUUCCGCCCCUUAGUGCUGCAGCUAACGCAUUAAGCACUCCGCCUGGGGAGUACGGCCGCAAGGCUG